UGACGGAGAGUAAGUGGCGCCUCGGAAGGCGGCGUCUUGUGUGCAGUUCCUCGUUAGUAUAGUGGUUAUACAUCUGGCGUGGCAGAGACCAUUAGUUGUCUCCCCAGUAUCUGCGUUUCUUUUUAUCCUUCAUAGUAAAACUCUCGAUGGUUAGCUGGACACAUGGCCUCCCAGAAGACUACAUUUCCCAGCCUUUUGCAGUUAUGGUCACGCAACUAAGUUCUGGCCAAGUGGUACCUCGGUUUUU